rnacentral:rRNA from 1 species
GAUGAACGCUGGCGGCGUGCCUAACACAUGCAAGUCGAACGGUGAAGCGCCUUCCUUUUUGGUGGGCGUGGAGGAGUGGCGGACGGGUGAGUAACACGAUAGUAACCUGCUCCUUCCUUCGGGAUAACCGCAGGAAAGUGUGGCUAAUACGGGAUAUUCUGGGCCGGUCGCAUGAUGGGUCUGGGAAAGAUUUCGUUUCGGUGGGGGAUGGGCUCGCGGCCUAUCAGCUUGUUGGUGGGGUGACGGCCUACCAAGGCGGUGACGGGUAGCCGGCCUGAGAGGGUCGGCCGCCCCGGAGGGGCUGCACCGCGGCGACGCCUCCGGGGGGAAGCAGUAGUGAAGAUUGUUGCACAGGGGGAGCCAGGCUGAUGCAACGCCGCCGCGUGGAGGAUGGAGUCCUUCUGGUUGUGACCCUCUUUCGGGAGUGAAGCAGGGCUGCCUCGUUUGUGGGUGGGUUGACGGUACCUAAAGAAGAAGCGCCGGCUAACUACGUG